GUGCCAGCAGCCGCGGUAAUUCCAGCUCCAAUAGCGUAUAUUAAAGUUGUUGUGGUUAAAAAGCUCGUAGUUGAACCUUGGGCCUGGCUGGCCGGUCCGCCUCACCGCGUGCACUGGUCCGGCCGGGCCUUUCCCUCUGUGGAACCCCAUACCCUUCACUGGGCGUGGCGGGGAAACAGGACAUUUACUUUGAAAAAAUUAGAGUGCUCCAGGCAGGCCUAUGCUCGAAUACAUUAGCAUGGAAUAAUAAAAUAGGACGCGCGGUUCUAUUUUGUUGGUUUAUAGGACCGCCGUAAUGAUUAAUAGGGACAGUCGGGGGCAUCAGUAUUCAACUGUCAGAGGUGAAAUUCUUGGAUCAGUUGAAGACUAACAACUGCGAAAGCAUUUGCCAAGGAUGUUUUCAUUAAUCAGGAACGAAAGUUAGGGGAUCGAAGACGAUCAGAUACCGUCGUAGUCUUAACCAUAAACUAUGCCGACUAGGGAUCGGACGGUGUUAUUCAUGACCCGUUCGGCACCUUACGAGAAAUCAAAGUGCUUGGGCUCCAGGGGGAGUAUGGUCGCAAGGCUGGAACUUAAAGAAAUUGACGGAAGGGCACCACCAGGGGUGGAGCCUGCGGCUUAAUUUGACUCAACACGGGGAAACUCACCAGGUCCAGACACAAUAAGGAUUGACAGAUUGAGAGCUCUUUUCUUGAUUUUGUGGGUGGUGAUGCAUGGCCGUUCUUAGUUGGUGGGGUGACUUGUCUGCUUAAUUGCGAUAACGAACGAGACCUUAACCUGCUAAAUAGCCCGCAUUGCUCCGGCAGUGCGCUGGCUUCUUAGAGGGACUUUCGGCUCAAGCCGAAGAGUUUGAGCAUUAACAGUCUGUGAUGCCCUUAGAUGUUCUGGCCGCACGCGCGCUUACACUGACGGGGUCAGCGAAGUCC
rnacentral:rRNA from 1 species